ensembl:lncRNA
AACCAGUCUGUCUCUGCUGCCUGUAGAGAUGGGUAGACAAGUUGGCCAAGGGUCUAAAAGCUCUUCUAAUCCCAUGUGAUCAAAUGUAGGACAGAUGACACAUUAAAAGCAGGACACCUCUCAAGCAUCCUUUGUACAACCAGUGACUAUGUAAGAGCAAGGACUUUGCAUUGAAGGACAAAGCACAAACAGCAAAGGUGCAAGCCUACCACCUACCUGCAAGAAGCCAACUCAUCACAACAGUUUGGCAACUGUGUACCAGGGCAGGCUGUGUACUCUUGGGUCAGGUUGGCUAAAAAAGAAAAAAAAAUAGAAUUAGACUUACUUCCAUUGAAGCUGAUCAUAUCCAUUUUUAGUUAUAUUCAUACUAUAUUGCUCUGCUUCUGCUUGUUCAAGACUAAGAAAUAAAUAGUUGUUGGUCUGCCCUUGGA